rnacentral:rRNA from 1 species
AGUAACACGUAGAUAACCUGCCCUGAAGUGGGGAAUAACAGCCCGAAAGGGUUGCUAAUACCGCAUAAUCUCGCUUUUGAUAGAAGGUGAGGAAACCCUGUGGGCAACCAUGGGGGCUAUAGGAGGGGUCUGCGGCGGAUUAGCUAGAUGGUGGGGUAAAGGCCUACCAUGGCGACGAUCCGUAGCUGGUCUGAGAGGACGGCCAGCCACACUGGGACUGAGAUACGGCCCAG